GAAUUCGCCCUUAGAGUUUGAUCCUGGCUCAGGACGAACGCUGGCGGCGUGCUUAACACAUGCAAGUCGAACGAGGAUCGGAAGGGAGCUUGCUCCCGUCUGAUUCGAGUGGCGGACGGGUGAGUAACGCGUGAACAAUCUGUCUCAUACAGGGGGAUAACGCAUCGAAAGAUGUGCUAAUACCGCGUAGGACCACGCUGGGGCAUCCCAGAGAGGUGAAAGGAGCAAUCCGGUAUGAGGUGAGUUCGCGUCUGAUUAGAUAGUUGGUGAGGUAAAGGCUCACCAAGUCAACGAUCAGUAGCCGACCUGAGAGGGUGACCGGCCACAUUGGGACUGAGACACGGCCCAGACUCCUACGGGAGGCAGCAGUGGGGAAUAUUGGGCAAUGGGCGAAAGCCUGACCCAGCAACGCCGCGUGAAGGAAGAAGGUUUUCGGAUCGUAAACUUCUGUCCUAUAUGAAGAUAAUGACGGUAGUAUAGGAGGAAGCCCCGGCUAACUACGUGCCAGCAGCCGCGGUAAUACGUAGGGGGCGAGCGUUGUCCGGAAUGAUUGGGCGUAAAGGGCGCGUAGGCGGCCGGAUAAGUCUGGAGUGAAAGUCCUGUUUUCAAGAUGGGAAUUGCUUUGGAUACUGUCAGGCUUGAGUGCAGGAGAGGUUAUCGGAAUUCCCGGUGUAGCGGUGAAAUGCGUAGAGAUCGGGAGGAACACCAGUGGCGAAGGCGGGUAACUGGACUGCAACUGACGCUGAGGCGCGAAAGUGUGGGGAGCAAACAGGAUAAGAUACCCUGGUAGUCCACACUGUAAACG
rnacentral:rRNA from 1 species